AGAGUUUGAUCAUGGCUCAGAUUGAACGCUGGCGGAAUGCUUUACACAUGCAAGUCGAACGGUAGAGGGGGCAACCCCUCGAGAGUGGCGAACGGGUGAGUAAUAUAUCGGAACGUGCCCAGUCGUGGGGGAUAACGUAGCGAAAGUUACGCUAAUACCGCAUACGAUCUACGGAUGAAAGCGGGGGAUCGCAAGACCUCGCGCGAUUGGAGCGGCCGAUAUCAGAUUAGGUAGUUGGUGGGGUAAAGGCUCACCAAGCCAACGAUCUGUAGCUGGUCUGAGAGGACGACCAGCCACACUGGAACUGAGACACGGUCCAGACUCCUACGGGAGGCAGCAGUGGGGAAUUUUGGACAAUGGACGCAAGUCUGAUCCAGCCAUUCCGCGUGCAGGAUGAAGGCCCUCGGGUUGUAAACUGCUUUUGUACGGAACGAAAAGGUUUCUAUUAAUACUAGGAGCUCAUGACGGUACCGUAAGAAUAAGCACCGGCUAACUACGUGCCAGCAGCCGCGGUAAUACGUAGGGUGCAAGCGUUAAUCGGAAUUACUGGGCGUAAAGCGUGCGCAGGCGGUUAUGUAAGACAGAGGUGAAAUCCCCGGGCUCAACCUGGGAACUGCCUUUGUGACUGCAUAGCUAGAGUACGGUAGAGGGGGAUGGAAUUCCGCGUGUAGCAGUGAAAUGCGUAGAUAUGCGGAGGAACACCGAUGGCGAAAGCAAUCCCCUGGACCUGUACUGACGCUCAUGCACGAAAGCGUGGGGAGCAAACAGGAUUAGAUACCCUGGUAGUCCACGCCCUAAACGAUGUCAACUGGGUUGUUGGGUCUUCACUGACUCAGUAACGAAGCUAACGCGUGAAGUUGACCGCCUGGGGAGUACGGCCGCAAGGUUGAAACUCAAGGAAUUGACGGGACCCGCACAAGCGGUGGAUGAUGUGGUUUAAUCCGAUGCACGCGAAAACCUUACCCACCUUUGACAUGUACGGAAGUCGCUAGAGAUAGCUUCGUGCUCGAAAGGAAAGCCGUAACACAGGUGCUGCAUGCUGUCGUCAG
rnacentral:rRNA from 1 species